rnacentral:lncRNA from 1 species
CCAGAAACCCAGAAGCAUCCAAAACACAUAAGCACCCAAAUCACAAGACUCCUUUGUAUUCAUCACACAGAUCAUGCAACCUUCUUCGUGUAGAAGCCUCAACCCUUCAUCUUCUUCAAACGUGCAUCGCGAGUUGCUCCUUCGUCAACCACCACAAGAUCGCCGUCACGCCUUCACCUCGAACCAAAACCUGCAAGGAAAGGCAAACAUAGAACCAACCAAAACCCCUUCGGAUUACGCCGUCAUCGCGCUUCCAAAUCCAAUCACGAACUUGUGAAAUCAAUCUCC